rnacentral:rRNA from 1 species
AUGCAACUCGUCACCUGCGGUCGGACGGCGGUCAACAUCAACGGUGAGAUCGGGCCUUACUUCCCCACCUUAUGUGGGGUUCACCAGGGUGACCCGUUCUCCCCGUUUCUAUUCAACAUGGUUGUCGAUGCCCUCGCGGUCAUUCUUGAUAAGGCCAAAGCUUGUGGCCAUAUCCGCGGCAUAGUCCCCCACCUAGUGGGUGGGGGAGGGGUCUCCCUCCUCCAAUAUGCGGACGACACCAUAGUUAUGGUGGAGGGCUCCGCGUCCGACAUCGCCAACCUGAAGUUCCUCCUCCUAUGUUUCCAACAGAUGUCUGGGCUCACCAUCAACUUCGAUAAAAGCAAAGGGAUGGAUAUAGGGCAACCGGGCGCAUCCAUCGACCCAACUGCAGGUCGUAGCGGUCCCACCUGCAGUGAUAGAAACUCCUCCCUCUCUCACCGGUGCAUCUAA